AACGAACGCUGGCGGCAUGCCUAACACAUGCAAGUCGAACGAGACCUUCGGGUCUAGUGGCGCACGGGUGCGUAACGCGUGGGAACCUGCCUUUAGGUUCGGAAUAACUCAGAGAAAUUUGAGCUAAUACCGGAUGAUGUCUUCGGACCAAAGAUUUAUCGCCUUUAGAUGGGCCCGCGUUGGAUUAGCUAGUUGGUGGGGUAAAGGCCUACCAAGGCGACGAUCCAUAGCUGGUCUGAGAGGAUGAUCAGCCACACUGGGACUGAGACACGGCCCAGACUCCUACGGGAGGCAGCAGUGGGGAAUAUUGGACAAUGGGCGAAAGCCUGAUCCAGCAAUGCCGCGUGAGUGAUGAAGGCCUUAGGGUUGUAAAGCUCUUUUACCCGAGAUGAUAAUGACAGUAUCGGGAGAAUAAGCUCCGGCUAACUCC
rnacentral:rRNA from 1 species